UUCAUUCAAUUCUAUUUCAAUGGAAAUGGAGCAGAAUUAUUGACACACAAGUGGCACAACGGUGCAGACUGUUAAUGUUAUCUGUGACACUAGUUCUAUAAAUAAACGUCGGACUUCAAUAUUUUACGAUUUUGACAUUUCAUAUAGUCCGACGUUUUAUCGAAAGUAUAAAUUUCCCGGUAGAGCUUUCCGCAAAAGUUCUUGCGGAAGGUUUUACAAGUUCACAGUAGAAGUGACUUGAAAGCGAUAGCUAAAUACCAACAACGGACAAAGAAACCUAAUUUAUACAUCCAUUGAACAUACUGUCUUACUGAAGAUAUUGAAGAUCAGUCCGUACUUUGAAAAUGAAAUUUACAUCCAUUCACUUUCACAACACAACACCAACUGUCAAAUCUUCUUUAUUAUAAAGAUUAAUUUUAGACGAAAAAAUAUUAUCACGGUCGGAUUUGGAAAAAAAUGCGGCCCUUUACUAACCUAUAGUCUAUGUAGUAUGCAUAUGUUUAUAAUCGAUGGGUGUAAUCAGCAUUUACUGGCUGUAAUUUUAUUAAAAGUUACUUAAAUUAGUUGUAAAGUCCUAUCAAAGCAGUUUAAAAGGCUAGUACACGUGCGUUCGGCGGUACCCAUGCGUUAAAUAAUGGCCGCAGAUUUUUUACAUGUGUCGUAGGCUAAACGUAUUUGUUUUCGUCUAAGCAUGUGUAAUUGAUUCUAUAUAUUUAUUCGGUGUUGUAUUGUUCGUGAUAUUUCAAUAAAUUAUGCUAGAAGUUUCUGUGAAAUGCGUCGGGGAAGUGAUUGGUGGUGCAGUUUUAGUUACGGUAAACCAAUGUUUCACGUAUUUGAGAGUUUUCCUACAUUACACUUCAAUAAAGUAAAGUUGUAAUCUGUGCUAUGCAAAUGGCUGACAUUCGAUUAAACUUGACACAGGGACAUGUUGAACGUCCAAAUAUUAAAAGACGCCCUGUGCAAGUUUAAUGUUAUUGAACUAUCUGUGACACUCACAGUAGGAAGACAAAAAAUCUACUGACACAGUGAAAGUGUUUACAUUUUGCAUUAUUUUUCUGAUUCAACCUGAUGAAUGGUGUGUACUCAUUGAAUACAUGUACUGUAUAUGAAAUUAAUGAAGCAGUAAUUUGACAAAUACAAGCAAUGAGACAUUGUUCAUUGAUUAAAAUAUGGAAUAUUUUUCUGGUGUCCUUCACAAAUGAGACAAUUUAUCCUUGAGAUAUAAAAGAAUGCUUCAAGGUCAACAGAAUAUGACUGAAAUUAUAAAGGCUUGUAAUGUAGUUUCUUAUUAUCAUUAUUAUAAUAUUGACAUGUUGUAAUGUCUUGCACUAAUCAGUGUUUGUUUUGUAUUAUAUUUCAGAUAUAAUAGUAUGAAUAUAGAGAUGAUUAUUUAGUUACCUUCAACUGGUCAGUGGUCAAAAGGGAGUAUGUCUGUGUGUCUUGAAGCAUUGAAUGCCCCCAAAACAACCAGUAUGAUAAGAAGGUGUACAAUCUGGGUUGAAAACAGCCAUGGUCAAUGAAUUUGGAGGUGCAUGCUGGAGCAUCAGAAAUUACAUACUUGGAAUAAAUAAUUGCACAAUACACAUUUACUGAGAGGUGACUAAUGUUUAUGUUAAAGUGCAAUAUCCAUGUUUGUAACAUUUACAUGGGGGUAAUAGUUACAGUGUUGAAAGAGACUACCAGUGUUACAUUUCAAACUAAGUUACAGUGUGGAUGCUAAUUCUAAAUUUUUGAUAAUUAAGUGUUUUUAAUAACUUAUGAAUACUAAUUAUUUAUCAAACUGUUUAAUUUAUCACAUUCCUACAUCAUUUUUUAUAUAAAAUGCUUGUAGUUAUAUAAUAUAUGUCAGGUUAAAUGGUAAUAAAUUUUGUUUCUGUGUAAAUAUCUUGCUUUUUGAAAAAUGAAAAUGAUACAUUCAGUGGCCAUCAUCUGUCAAAACUUUAUUAUAAAUGCAACAAAACUGAUGAAAAGAUAGGCAGUUACUUUUCACAAGUUCAUGGAAUAGCAGAAUAUACAUAACAUUGUAUAGUUUUCCUAACUUGUAUCUGGGGCCAUCAUAAAAUUAAUUGCUAGAUUAAAUUUUCUUCACAAGAUUUCAGAUCAGAUAUUUUAUUUUUGCUUUAAUGAGGUUUUAAAGAGAAAAAAUGACAUAAUUAUAAUAGUUAUUUUUGUCAAAUGGAUUUGAUUAAAAGCAAUAAUAACUGAAAGUUAAUAAUUUAUAACAUUCUUUAUAGAAAUAUUCCAUGGAUGAUCUUUGAAACUAAAAAUAUUAAGGAGAUGC